rnacentral:rRNA from 2 species
GACGACGCUGGCGGCGUGCCUAAUACAUGCAAGUCGAACGAACUCUGGUAUUGAUUGGUGCUUGCAUCAUGAUUUACAUUUGAGUGAGUGGCGAACUGGUGAGUAACACGUGGGAAACCUGCCCAGAAGCGGGGGAUAACACCUGGAAACAGAUGCUAAUACCGCAUAACAACUUGGACCGCAUGGUCCGAGUUUGAAAGAUGGCUUCGGCUAUCACUUUUGGAUGGUCCCGCGGCGUAUUAGCUAGAUGGUGGGGUAACGGCUCACCAUGGCAAUGAUACGUAGCCGACCUGAGAGGGUAAUCGGCCACAUUGGGACUGAGACACGGCCCAAACUCCUACGGGAGGCAGCAGUAGGGAAUCUUCCACAAUGGACGAAAGUCUGAUGGAGCAACGCCGCGUGAGUGAAGAAGGGUUUCGGCUCGUAAAACUCUGUUGUUAAAGAAGAACAUAUCUGAGAGUAACUGUUCAGGUAUUGACGGUAUUUAACCAGAAAGCCACGGCUAACUACGUGCCAGCAGCCGCGGUAAUACGUAGGUGGCAAGCGUUGUCCGGAUUUAUUGGGCGUAAAGCGAGCGCAGGCGGUUUUUUAAGUCUGAUGUGAAAGCCUUCGGCUCAACCGAAGAAGUGCAUCGGAAACUGGGAAACUUGAGUGCAGAAGAGGACAGUGGAACUCCAUGUGUAGCGGUGAAAUGCGUAGAUAUAUGGAAGAACACCAGUGGCGAAGGCGGCUGUCUGGUCUGUAACUGACGCUGAGGCUCGAAAGUAUGGGUAGCAAACAGGAUUAGAUACCCUGGUAGUCCAUACCGUAAACGAUGAAUGCUAAGUGUUGGAGGGUUUCCGCCCUUCAGUGCUGCAGCUAACGCAUUAAGCAUUCCGCCUGGGGAGUACGGCCGCAAGGCUGAAACUCAAAGGAAUUGACGGGGGCCCGCACAAGCGGUGGAGCAUGUGGUUUAAUUCGAAGCUACGCGAAGAACCUUACCAGGUCUUGACAUACUAUGCAAAUCUAAGAGAUUAGACGUUCCCUUCGGGGACAUGGAUACAGGUGGUGCAUGGUUGUCGUCAGCUCGUGUCGUGAGAUGUUGGGUUAAGUCCCGCAACGAGCGCAACCCUUAUUAUCAGUUGCCAGCAUUAAGUUGGGCACUCUGGUGAGACUGCCGGUGACAAACCGGAGGAAGGUGGGGAUGACGUCAAAUCAUCAUGCCCCUUAUGACCUGGGCUACACACGUGCUACAAUGGAUGGUACAACGAGUUGCGAACUCGCGAGAGUAAGCUAAUCUCUUAAAGCCAUUCUCAGUUCGGAUUGUAGGCUGCAACUCGCCUACAUGAAGUCGGAAUCGCUAGUAAUCGCGGAUCAGCAUGCCGCGGUGAAUACGUUCCCGGGCCUUGUACACACCGCCCGUCACACCAUGAGAGUUUGUAACACCCAAAGUCGGUGGGGUAACCUUUUAGGAACCAGCCGCCUAAGGUGGGACAGAUGAUUAGGGAAGUCGACAGUU